ensembl:lncRNA
CAAAAACGUUGAUCCGUCAUCUCACAUUGGAUUCAGCAACAGAUCUUCCAGACGGUAAACAUUAAAGUCAGAUAAAAGGUAAACAAUGACAGCUGACAUUUAUUCAUUCAUUCAAUGACAUUCAUUCAUUCACUGGAAUUAAUACAUAAUUUGUAUUUUUUAAGCACAUUUUAUUUAUUUAUUUUACAUUUAUUAUAAUGAUCAAACUUUCCGUUAAUUCUUUUCUGUUAUCAUGGUUGUAUGGAGUAAGGUCCUGUUUUUAUUUAAUAAUCUAUGAACGUUUUUGGUCACGUUAUUUCUUAUUUCAUAAUCGAGUCAGGAAUUGUCUUUAUAAUGUCCAAAAUGAUAAAUGAAAGUACAUUUAGGGCUACUGCUAGGGCUAUAUUAGGUCCAGCAUAUAAUGAAGCAUAAAUAAGAAAAGCCAUAAAGAACAGUCUGAAAAAUGAAACUUAAUACUGAAACUUAAUGAAGGCCUGCAGCUAGUGGUGGCCUGCUAUGCUGUGUGUGUGUGUGUGCACUAGAAAAACUCCCUGGGAAGUCCAUCCCUGGGGCCGUUGUUGUCCACUAUAGGGGGUUCCCAUAAGUAACGCAAUCAAAGAAACAACAAGAACAAAAGAAAGAAAAAGGAAAGAAUUCUAGUAGUUAUCCCAACAUGUGCAUGCGUUCAUAAUGAGAAGUUAGACAGUAAUGGCUGUGUAAACAUGAUUAAUAAAAACCUGGAGGCAGCUUUAACCAAAUGCACGGGGUCAUUAUUUCAUCGGAAAGAAAGGAUAUAGAAUUCUGAAAUAUUUCAAACAAAGAAAGCAACUGUUCAGUAUCUUGACUGCUUAAUGUUCAGGCUUCAGCACUAUUUCUAGGUUAAAUGUGAGUAAAUGUGUGAUCUUGACCAUAUUAACUGGUUUGUACAGAAAGUCCGAUUCUCCUCAUGUCUAAUCUCUUCUACUGAAGGAUGUGUUCAGAGGAUAUUCCGAUGGACUUGAUCUAAAAUGGAUAAAAGGUUUUGCACAAAGAUGUGGAGUCCAUGUCCCUCAUUAAAGCAGAACCGGUACCAGAUACUAAGAAAAUCUGAUUUUACUUUUCACUCAAGUUCUCAUCAAUAAAUAUAUUUCAUUAGAGUAGAAAAAGAAUGCGAAAGAAGCGCUCAGACUUUUAGAUCCAUAUAUAUAUAUAUAUAUAUAUAUAUAUAUAUAUAUAUAUACACACACACACACCCCACACACACACAAUUACAACAUUUCUGCAGGAC